GAUGAACGCUGGCGGCGUGCCUAAUACAUGCAAGUCGAGCGAACGGACGAGAAGCUUGCUUCUCUGAUGUUAGCGGCGGACGGGUGAGUAACACGUGGAUAACCUACCUAUAAGACUGGGAUAACUUCGGGAAACCGGAGCUAAUACCGGAUGAUAUUUUGAACCGCAUGGUUCAAAAGUGAAAGACAGUCUUGCUGUCACUUAUAGAUGGAUCCGCGCUGCAUUAGCUAGUUGGUAAGGUAACGGCUUACCAAGGCAACGAUGCAUAGCCGACCUGAGAGGGUGAUCGGCCACACUGGAACUGAGACACGGUCCGGACUCCUACGGGAGGCAGCAGUAGGGAAUCUUCCGCAAUGGGCGAAAGCCUGACGGAGCAACGCCGCGUGAGUGAUGAAGGUCUUCGGAUCGUAAAACUCUGUUAUUAGGGAAGAACAUAUGUGUAAGUAACUGUGCACAUCUUGACGGUACCUAAUCAGAAAGCCACGGCUAACUACGUG
rnacentral:rRNA from 1 species